rnacentral:tRNA from 1 species
UGACGGGGCUCGAACCCGCAGC